rnacentral:rRNA from 1 species
UACGGAGGGGACUAGCGUUGUUCGGAAUUACUGGGCGUAAAGCGCACGUAGGCGGACUUGUAAGUCAGGGGUGAAAUCCCGAGGCUCAACCUCGGAACUGCCUUUGAUACUGCAAAUCUCGAGUCCGGAAGAGGUGAGUGGAAUUCCUAGUGUAGAGGUGAAAUUCGUAGAUAUUAGGAAGAACACCAGUGGCGAAGGCGGCUCACUGGUCCGGUACUGACGCUGAGGUGCGAAAGCGUGGGGAGCAAACAGG